rnacentral:rRNA from 1 species
UACGGAAGAUCCGAGCGUUAUCCGGAAUUACUGGGCGUAAAGAGUUGCGUAGGUGGCAUAGCAAGCGAACAGUGAAAGGUCCCGGCUCAACCGGGGAUACAUUGUUCGAACUUCUAAGCUAGAGCACAGCAGAGGUACCUGGAAUUCCCAGUGUAGGAGUGAAAUCCGUAGAUAUUGGGAGGAACACCGAUGGCGUAGGCAGGGUACUGGGCUGUUGCUGACACUAAGGCACGAAAGCGUGGGGAGCGAACGGG